GAUGAACGCUGGCGGCGUGCCUAAUACAUGCAAGUCGAGCGAACGGACGAGAAGCUUGCUUCUCUGAUGUUAGCGGCGGACGGGGGAGUAACACGUGGAUAACCUACCUAUAAGACUGGGAUAACUUCGGGAAACCGGAGCUAAUACCGGAUGAUAUUUUGAACCGCAUGGUUCAAAAGUGAAAGACGGUCUUGCUGUCACUUAUAGAUGGAUCCGCGCUGCAUUAGCUAGUUGGUAAGGUAACGGCUUACCAAGGCAACGAUGCAUAGACGACCUGAGAGGGUGAUCGGCCACACUGGAACUGAGACACGGUCCAGACUCCUACGGGAGGCAGCAGUAGGGAAUCUUCCGCAAUUGGCGAAAGCCUGAAGGAGCAACGCCGCGUGAGUGAUGAAGGUCUUCGGAUCGUAAAACUCUGUUAUUAGGGAAGAACAUAUGUGUAAGUAACUGUGCACAUCUUGACGGUACCUAAUCAGAAAGCCACGGCUAACUACGUG
rnacentral:rRNA from 1 species